UUGCCUCUCUCUCAUCUCUCAUCUCUCAUCUCUCAUCUCUCAUCUCUCAUCAUCUCUCUCUCUCUCUCUCUCUCUCUCUCUCUCUCUCUCUCUCCGGUUAUCGUGUAAUUUUCUGAGUGUUACUCCAGAAUCGCUCGAUAUCCUGGAUAAGAGGUUUCAAAAGCCAUGUUAUUUUCGAGGGUUUGGUGAUUCGAGGUUGGCUUAGGUGGAGUGGCGGAUCUGUUGUAGCGUUCUUCGACGACGACGACGACGAUUUGGAUCUACGAGGCAUCAAAGGCGUUCGAUGGGGCAGGGCAGUGGGCCUGAGCCUAGAGCUUGGGGUGCUCGCAUUAACUUUCCUGUUUCUCUUCUCUUAUGUUUUUAAAGCUUAAAUCUUUAGGCUUGCAUGUUGCAGAUCUUGACUUUGGACUUUUAUGUGCAGAGAUUUGUCUUCCAACUAUUUAUCAGCAAGUCUUCCCCCCUAGGCUGAGCGAAGCAUCGCAUUCUCAAAGAAGGACCCAAAUAGUUUGAAGCCUGGCCCGGCGUUGAACAAAGAUGGCAUGCUUGAUCUCACCAUUUUUAUCUGUGUCCUUGAACGAAAGAAAGACGAGGUACCUGCUCCUUGUUCUAUUGCUAUAUCUCAGGUUUGUUUCAUGUGAUUCAAGUUAACAAAUACUUUCUCACCUAUGAGCCUCUUGGUUGUUUUGCUGAGCAACGAAGCUGAGACAAGUGCGAACUCACUCUAAAGUGAGUUCAACUACUCUGAAUCUGGAUUGAAGGACUCUACUUAUUGAUGCCGUCAUGACUCAACCGAUCUCUUGAAUUUAGUCAUUGUGCAACAGAGGUUAUUCGUAAGGAAGGAUUGCUGUAUCAAGGGAAGGGUUGCAACCUUGGGGAGGAAGAGUCUUGAUGUUAAAAUUUUGAUGGGUUUAUCUGUAAAUUUUUAGUUAAUGUAGUUUGAUACAUUUUAAAAUACAGUAUACAGUACAUUAAUGUAGAGGUGCCAGUUGGCACCUUAUUUUUUUAAUCCGGCUUCAUAUUUUUGCCACUGAUAUCAGUGGCUUCCAAAA